ensembl:lncRNA
GUGUGGCCUAUUUGCGCGUCAGUGAAGGAUGUGUGGCCUACGUGCGCAUCAGUAAAGAUGUGUGGCCUAUGUGCGUGUCCGUGAAGGAGGUGUGGCCUUUGUGAGUGUCACUGGAGGAGGUGUGGCCUCUGUGCAUGCCAGUGAAGGAGGUGUGGCCUCUAUGUGUGUCAGUGGAGGAGGUGUGGCCUCUGUGCAUACCAGUGAAGGAGGUGUGGCCUCUGUACGUAUGAGUGAAGGAGGUGUGUCCUCUGUGAGUGUCAGUGAAGGAGGUGUGGCCUAUGUGCGCAUCAGCAAAGAACGCGUGGCCUAUGUGCGUGUCCGUGAAGGAGGUGUGGCCUCUGUGAGUGUCACUGGAGGAGGUGUGGCCUCUGUGCAUGUGAGUGAAGUAGGUGGGGCCCCUGUGUGUCAGUGAAGGAGGUGUGGCCUCUGUGCAUGUCAGUGAAGGAGGUGUGGCCUCUGUGUGUGUCAGUGAAGGAGGUGUGGCCUCUGUGUGUGUCAGUGCAGAAGGUGGGGCCUCUGUACAUGUCAGUGAAGGAGGUGUGGCCUCUGUGCGUGUCAGUGAAGGAGGUGUGGCCUCUGUACAUGUCAGUGAAGGAGGUGUGGCCUCUGUGCAUGUCAGUGAAGGAGGUGUG